GAUGAACGCUGGCUACAGGCUUAACACAUGCAGUCGAGGGGAAACGACGGGGAAGCUUGCUUCCCCGGGCGUCGACCGGCGCACGGGUGAGUAACGCGUAUCCAACUGCCUCUGACUGAGGGAUAACCCGUCGAAAGUCGGCCUAAUACCUCAUGGUAUCGUCUGCGGGCAUCCAACGACGAUUAAAGAUUUCAUCGGUCAGAGAUGGGGAUGCGUCUGAUUAGCUGGUUGGCGGGGUAACGGCCCACCAAGGCGACGAUCAGUAGGGGUUCUGAGAGGAAGGUCCCCCACAUUGGAACUGAGACACGGUCCAAACUCCUACGGGAGGCAGCAGUGAGGAAUAUUGGUCAAUGGGCGAGAGCCUGAACCAGCCAAGUAGCGUGCAGGAUGACGGCCCUAUGGGUUGUAAACUGCUUUUAUGCGGGGAUAAAGUGAGGGACGUGUCCCUUACAUUGCAGUACCGCAUGAAUAUCGACCGCUAU
rnacentral:rRNA from 1 species